CGUUCGUGACAGGUAAGUAUUUGUCCUGGUAAUUUGCUUUUCUCUCCAAGUGAUUCAGCAGAAUUUGCAAAAUAAAACGGUGUAUGCUGCUCGGAAGAGGAUAUCCACAAUUAAACAAAGUACCAGACAACAGUAGCGAGAACAGUGCAAGGAAGUCAUGACUGUACUAAAAGUACACGUAGAAUACUGUGGUAAAUGAGGGUACGCCUCCCGGUAUCGGGAACUUGCCAAAAAGGUCAAAGAGCAUGUUCCUGAUGCGGAAGUCACCGGAGCCGAAGGAAGAAGCACCAGCUUUGAGAUCACUAUGAAUGACCAGUUGAUAUUCUCCAAGUUGGAAACAAAAGGCUUUCCUUAUGCUGAAGAUAUCAUCGAUGCGGCUCAGAAAGCCAGCCGUGGAGAAACCGUCUCUAAAAUCACCAAGAAGCAGAACUGUGUUGUGAUGUAGGAUGGUUGCUUCCUGAAAGUUAGAAAUAAUUCCUACAUUUUAAUCUGGGACCCGGUUCUUAGGAUGACUGUUUGCAUUUAAACCUGCAAUGCAAACAUGAAAAGAAACAAGAACCCCGUUCUCUAGGCAUUUAGAAUUCAGGAGUGCAUUUCUUGAGCUUUCUUUUUCUCAAGUACUGUAAUUCAGCAAGGUAGCUGUCAGUAAAAAACAAACAAACAAACAAACAAAACAGAAUAAAAUAUCUCCACAGCAGAGUGCGAAUACUUAAAGUUAACUCAUUUACUGGAUGGUGGAGGAGUAGAUUUUAAUGUUCAAUGAUAGCUGUUGCUCUGUAGUUUAUGUGUUUCUUCUUUGCUGACUGGCUACCUAAAUAUUUUAAUUUUGUGUGUAGUUGUUUUUUUUUCUCCCCUUAUUGGAUGGUAAAUAUGUAGCAGAAGGCAACUCUCUGUUGUAAAUACUGUUGCUUAUGAACAGACAUAUUUUCUGUUGAAUUCAAAUGCAGUUAAUUUGAAGUAAACAUUCCCGGCUCCUAAAAAAGCACAUCAAGUUCAGGGUUUAAUACAAAUGAAUGAUUUCCUAAUAUGAAUUAGGUGGAAAAUCAGUGAGUGGUUAAUAACAUACACCUAAACUACUAAACCUUAUUAUUGUAGCAUGUUUCCUUCUGCAUUUGUAACAACUAAUAUACAACUAUUUCCCAUGCUUGUCUUAAUAGUAAUCCCCUCUUUUUUCUUCUUUUUAAAAUGAAUUUGGUACUUGACAAUAAAAAAAAUAUAUAUACAA